rnacentral:lncRNA from 1 species
AUGUGCUGUUUGCCAGAGGGGCCCAGGAGAUCCGCAAGGGAGGAAGUUUUCCAGCAGAUCAUCAGGAAAAAAGGGCAAUUCUCUGUGAACAUUGUCGCAGAGCAAAAACAAAGUCCUUCCUCAUCAGGGAAGAAUUCGACAGGCCUCACUGGUAGCCAGUGCCGUGGCACGCGAAAGUUGGCCUGUACCAACCCCAGAGGUCCAUUCACCUCCUGCAAUGGGCUUCAGGCUCUCAUCUUGUCAUGCACAUGGAAGAAACCAACUCUGGCAGGCACGGCCAUCUCAGCAUGAAGGGUUUGCAUCUUUCACGACCUGUCACCAUCACCUACUUCUGCUUUCUGUAGCUUCAGAAGAAUCAGGUUCACCCAGACCCACAGAGGACCAUCGUCAUGUCCCACAGCACAGCACAUCUGAAUCUUUCUUGAAACUGUUUUGUGCCCUUGACUCAUGGGAAAACUGAUUCUUGUCUACUGUAACCUUUCUGUGCCAGCUCCAUUUGCCUCUCAAAUUGUUUCUGAAUAUGAGUUAUCCUUCUGCAAUCAGGGCUAACUGUUUGCUUAAGAUAAUUUAUUGUUACCCUGAACUCACAAAGUACUUAUAUGGAUUUUCAGAUGAAGGUGUAGAGAGUAGCGGUCACACAUCGUCCAAAACUUAGGACCCAAACCGAGUUUUGUUUCAGCUAUCAUCAGCUGCAGAGGUCACAGUUAAGUAAAAUCGGCUUAAACUGGGAUUGGAAAACUGUCUGCUACAUUAGCAGAGAGAUCAGAUGACAGAUUUGGUCUGGCCUCAUUAUCUAGCCAUAAAAAUGUAAGGGCCUGAAGUAUUUGGGGAAUGGGAAUGCAGAGAGCAGGAGGGAUUUCUGGAGGAUCUCCAUGCAGUAUUUGCUGUCUGAGGAAAGGAGCCCGAAGGACCCUUCCCCCUCAGACUGUCUGAUUUGAGCUCUUAUCUCCAAUGACAAACUGAAACCAGGAGAAUCAGUCUCUUCCUUUUGCAAACAGUUGGGGGAACAGGGGCUCCUGUGUGUCUACAACAUCUCACAUUUAUUUUUAGCUUCUUCUAUUUGGUUAGUGAGGUCACUGGAGCCCAGGCUUAAACAUGUUUUAAGCAAAUGUUACCCUGACCUUCCAGAGCUCUGAAUUUCCUGUAGCUAUACAUACCCGAAAGAAACGGAGCUAAUGGUGCAAGGGAAUGUUAUAUUAGCAUUUUAGGCUACAGUUCAAAUUACUAUGCAUCCUCAUUUAUUGCAACACUUUUUGGGGAUAUGAAAAGUGUAAAAUACAUUUCAAGAGGUUUUGAUCCAAAAUACAUUUGGUGACGCUGUUUCCUGGCUGAAGUAGCCUCUGUGCUUUUUCCAGUAAUUCUGCAUUUAGGAUUUUAUUUACACAGUUCAGGGAUUAAAUCACAAUUUCCACUCCUUAGUGUAAAAACAAACAAACAAAAAAAAAAAAACAACCCAACAAGCCUCCUUCCUGCCAGAGCUGGAACCAUUACCCAAAUCACUGCAAGGAAACAAAUAUCAGGGUACCCAGAGCCACCAGCUCCCAUCCAGCCCCAUGCAAACUAGAAAAAGGGGCUUUGGGAGAAAACCUUCUCAUGGAGCUGCAGAGAGAUUAGCAAACAAAUGCUUUUUUGUAAUGAGAGCUUGUUCUGCGAAUGCAAUAAGCUCCUGAUGGAGUCUGCCAGCCCAGUGCUGGAAGCAGGCCAGCACAGAGGUGCAGGGAGCAGGCAACGUUCAUCGCUGUUCCAGAUGUGAGACGAGGCUGAGGAGGCUGUGGGAAGCUUGGCGGGUGUUAGGCAAGCCAGCACGGUCCUGGAUAUUGCGGGAGGAAUGCUUGUCCUAACAGGCUUUUGGGCUGCUCAGCUGGGAAUCACAAGGGUCCUGGUGGAAACCCAGCUUCUGGUCAGGCUGGAGACCCUGCCCAAAGAAAGAUGUCCCCAAAGGAGAAAAAAACAAAACAACAACAACAACAACAAAACCUUCAGAAGUCUGAAUUUAUCCUUAUUUUUAGUCUUCAAGAUGAGUCAUUCAGGAAAAAGUCCUGUUCUGAACGCUGAUAUAGCCUUCUCUUCCCUAGGGAUAUAUUCAUGUAGCUGCAGGUGACCAAAUUAGGGAAGCUCAGCAAAAGUUACUGCUAACGAAGUAAGUGAUGGUGACUGCUCAUGUGCAGACUUUUAGCCUCCUGUGAAUGCAAAGCAAAAUAUCCCUGCAGGGUGACUGGAACUAAUAUGCUUUACUUUACAUUUGCAAUUGGCUCGGAGAUGCACAUGGCUCCUCGCCGAGGCUCAAGUGAUAAUGAAUUGAGCUCCUGUAACUCAAUUGCUUGCAAGCACUUGCUGUGUCACUGGUGGAAAAACAGUGUAGAAAAAUCACAGCCCUCGCUUAUACAUACCAGAAAAUGUUACAGACUUGGUUCAGCUCUCCUGGCCAGUCAGCAUGUCUGAAGUUCACACAUCGAGACCAAAUCCCUGUUUUUCUAUUAACAGAAUACUGAAUAUUUUCUGCAAGCAGUGUAGGUGAACUAGGGAAGCCCCAGUUGCUGCAGUAGCAGCCUAUAUGAAUUCUAGAAAUUUAUAUAUUAAUAGAUUUGCUAGAGAAUCUAGACAAGUAUUUGUGAGCUCAAAAAAAAAAAAAAAAAAAAAAAAAAAAUCAGAAAAUCCCCUGAUAAUUCAUCUGCGGAGGGUAAUUUCCUAGGUCUAAUCAGAGCAAACAUCUCUAUGGCUGGAAUGUUGAAAUAAAUUAAAUACAAAGCCUUCA